rnacentral:pre_miRNA from 1 species
UUACUACUCCCUCCGUUCGGAAUUACUUGUCUUGGAUAUGGAUGUAUCUAGAACUAAAAUACAUCUAGAUACAUCCAUUUCUGUGACAAGUAAUUUCGAACGGAGGGAGUACUCA